rnacentral:lncRNA from 1 species
CCGCGYUCUCCAGAGCUGCGCGGCGCUGGCGAGGUUCCCUGCGUGUCUGCAGCUGCUGGGUUUGGGGGCCAGAACCUCUCCAGGCGUCGCCGGACAGGCUCUGCGGGCAGGGCUGGGUGCUGCGGUGCCAGGAGCUGGCAGCCGUGGAGGAACUGUGGCCCUGCAGCUCCCAGACUCGGAGAAAGAGACAGACUGUGCCUGGACACCGCAGAAGAUGCCUGAAGGGCAGGGUCUCGCCGGGGUGAGGUCGCGGGCGGCUGAAGAUGGGAGGCUGUGGGCGUCCCGUCCUCCCCGUUCGAGGCCUGCUGCUCUGCGCCUUGGCUCUGCUCGUCUGCGCCCAGCACCCUCCGGCCGCAGCAGGUUUUCCAGAGUCCAGCGGUACUUACAACUCCUCCGCGGCCUCCAACUCCUCCGCGGCCUCCAACUCCUCCGCGGCCUCCAACUCCUCCGCGGCCUCCAACUCCUCCGCAGCACCCGACUCCUGGGUGGACGGGACAGAAGAAACACUGGUAAGGAUGGGGCCGCGGCUCAGGCUGUUAC